UUUGUAUUGAGUAUUAUUACUGGCAUAGACUCUGAAAAAACUCAACCAAACGUAUUUUUGCAAAAAAAAAAAGAAAUUAUGUGAAUUCAGAUUUAAAUCCCGAAGAAAAUAUACAUUUUAAAACAAGAAUGAGAUGCUACCAGCUGGAGUUGUGACAAAAUUAUUAACCUUGGAAUUUGCUGACGAAUUGAAGACGCGUUUUUAGUCCGAAAAUCAAAUACCAAUGCCCAAUUGUAAGCUAUCAUGAAGUUCGCGGAUUUAAGUUCCCGCUACAAUAUAUAUUCAAGAAAUAUUAUCUAAAGUUCAACGCUUGAUCUGUGUAAAUUACGUUGAAGUAUUUGGGUUCAGACCUAUCCAUUUGUCACCUUGAUCGUACGAUUUAAUGCCAUUGACAAAUUUAUUCGUGAGACAGCGGCCGAAAUGAUGCAAAAAAUUAUGCCGAAAUUGGACCAAGUGGAUGGACAAUCACCGAUUGAUAGACACUGAUUCGUUCGAAAAUUGUUUCAGAACUCCCCAAAAAUACUAAAAAUGGGGCGACAUCCCUAAAUAUGUACCGAUAUAACCCAUUUUUAAUAUCAAUCAGUGACUAGAGAUUUUAAAGGGCCCAGACCCGGCAAAGUUUGGAAAGAUUGGCAUACACAGAAAGUAAGAUUAUCAAUAUACAGCACAUUUGGUUCGAUAUAAUAACGGAAACCUUUAAAAACAUUGAAUCGGAAUGCAUCAUUGUAUGGUUGCAAUAUCACCUAUACUGGAUCUAUAAUAAAGUUUUCUUUAGGCAAUAGAGAUUUUGCCCAUUGGGAGCCUGAAAUGUUAAACUGA